ACCACACAAAUUUAUUAUUUCACAGUUUCUGUAGGUUAGAAGUCCAAGGUUGGCCUAGCUAAUUUGUCAGUGUCUUACAUGGCUGAAGUCAAGGUGUCAGAAGGAGUUGCUAUCUCAUCUGAUGCAUGGGAUCCUUUUCCAAGCUCACUCAGGUUGUUAGCAGAAGUUAGUCCCCUGUAGUUCUAGGACUGUGGUCUCCAUUUUCUUGCUGGCUAAUGACUUGGUUGGUUGUCAGCUCCUAGAUUUUUCUCCCUAUUCUGGAGUUCAGGUAUGUUACCCAGCUGGGUCUAACGAUGUGUCUUCGUCCAUUUUGUGUUGUUAUUGCAUAAUACCACAACCAUCCACCGCCAUGUUGUUCUCUCCAAAGCACAGUGGUUUUGUCAGAGGCGUUUGAACAAGAGCAACUCCAUCUUAAAUAGGAGCUGGGUGAAAUAAGGCUGAAACCAACUGCUGCAUUCCCAGAUGGUUAAGGCAUUCUAAGUCACAGGAUGAGAUAGGAGGUCAGCACAAGAUACAGGGUCAUAAAGACCCUGCUGAUAGAACAGGUUACAGUAAAAAAGGUGGUCCAAACCCACCAAAACCAAGAUGAUGAUGAAAGUGACCUCUGGAUGUCCUCACUGCUACACUCCCACCAGCGCCAUGACAGUUUACAGAUGCCACGGCAAUGCCAGGAAGUUACCCUAUAUGGCCUAGAAAGGGGAGGCAUAAAUAACCCACCCCUUGUUUAGCACAUCAUCAAGAAAUAACCAUAAAAACGGGCAACCAGCAGCCCUGGGGACUGCUGUGUCUGUGGAGUAGCCAUUCUUUUAUUCCUUUACUUUCUUAAUAAACUUGCUUUUGCUUUGUGCUGUGGACUCGCCCUGAAUUCUUUCUUGCAUGAGAUCCAAGAACCCUCUCUUGGGGUCUGGAUCGGGACCCUUUCCUGUAACAUCUUUCUGGUGGCCACUGAAGGGACUAAAGUGAGGAAACCCCCAACUCAAAGGUUAACUUUGCAUAAGUGUUGGGGUCCUGUAACAUCUUUCUGGUGACCACGGAAGCGACUAUAGUGAGGAAACCCCUGACCCAAAGGCUAACUUUGGGUAAGUGGUGGGAUCCAGUAACAUCUUUCUGGUGAACCACAGAAGGGAUGAUACUGAGGAGAACCCCCCAACCCAAAGGAAAUAGACUUCAGCACUGAUUGGAUGACUUUGGAGUCAAGGAAACUUUUCAGCUAUUUACAGCUUUUAACAAUUGAGUAAAGCAUACUCCUGUGAACAAAAUUUGGAACAUAUUUGUUUCUCUCUACCUGAUUUCUCCACAAUUUGGAAACUAUGUAUAUCACCUUUUGUUGGACUCAAGAGUUAUGAAUGGCCCUCACCAUACUGAUGCUUUCUGACUGAGCUCCUCACUACCCUGAACACAAGAGGGAGGAAUAUCAUCGCCCCUAUUCAGCCUGGAGAAGUUACAAAAGAUGGAUCUUCGUCCCUCUGCAACCCUUAGGAUUAAUGGUUCUCCUAUAAAAGGGAUGGGGGGAAAAUGUCAGAGGCAUUUGAACAAGAGCAACUCCAUCUUAAAGAGGAGCUGGGUAAAAUAAGGCUGAAACCUACUGGGCUGCAUUCCCAGAUGGUUAAGGCAUUCUAAGUCACAGGAUGAGAUGGGAGGUUGGCACAAAAUACAGGUCAUAAAGACCCUGCUGAUAAAACAGGUUGCAGUAAAGAAGCUGGCCAAAACCCACCAAAACCAAGAUGGCAAUGAGACUGACCUCUGGUCGUCCUCACUGCUACACUCCCAUCAGUGCCAUGACAGUUUACAGAUGCCAUGGCAACAUCAGGAAGUUACCCUAUAUGGCCUAGAAAGGGGAGGCAUGAAUAAUCCACCUCUUGUUUAGCAUAUCAUCAAGAAAUAACCAUAAAAAUGGACAACCAGCAGCCCUGGGGACUGCUGUGCCUGUGGAGUAGCCAUUCUUUUAUUCCUUUACUU
rnacentral:lncRNA from 1 species